AGAGUUUGAUCAUGGCUCAGAUUGAACGCUGGCGGAAUGCUUACACAUGCAAGUCGAACGGCAGCACGGGGGCAACCUGGUGGCGAGUGGCGAACGGGUGAGUAAUACAUCGGAACGUGCCCAAUCGUGGGGGAUAACGUAGCGAAAGUUACGCUAAUACCGCAUACGAUCUACGGAUGAAAGCGGGGGAUCGCAAGACCUCGCGCGAAUGGAGCGGCCGAUGUCAGAUUAGGUAGUUGGUGGGGUAAAGGCUCACCAAGCCGACGAUCUGUAGCUGGUCUGAGAGGACGACCAGCCACACUGGGACUGAGACACGGUCCGGACUCCUACGGGAGGCAGCAGUGGGGAAUAUUGCGCAAUGGGCGAAAGCCUGACGCAGCCAUACCGCGUGUGUGAAGAAGGCCUUCGGGUUGUAAAGCACUUUCAGUGGGGAGGAAAAGCUGGUGGCUAAUAUCCAUCGGCCGUGACGCUACCCACAGAAGAAGCACCGGCUAAUUCCGUG
rnacentral:rRNA from 1 species